rnacentral:rRNA from 1 species
AGUAGGGGUUCUGAGAGGAAGGUCCCCCACAUUGGAACUGAGACACGGUCCAAACUCCUACGGGAGGCAGCAGUGAGGAAUAUUGGUCAAUGGGGCGAGGGCCUGAACCAGCCAAGUAGCGUGCAGGAUGACGGCCCUAUGGGUUGUAAACUGCUUUUAUAUGGGAAUAAAGUGAGGGACGUGUCCCUUAUUGCAUGUACCAUACGAAUAAGGACCGGCUAAUUCCGUGCCAGCAGCCGCGGUAAU